CCUACGGGUGGCAGCAGUAGGGAAUAUUGCACAAUGGGCGAAACCCUGAUGCAGCGACGCCGCGUGGGGGAUGAAGGUCUUCGGAUCGUAAACCCCUGUCAGCAGGGAAGAAAAUUACCGUUUCUAAUCAACAAUGCCUUGCCAAUUCCGUCCCAGGAGCCACCGUCUUACGCCGUGCGAGCGGCCUCGGUGAUACGGAGGGGUCUAGCGUUAGUCGGGGUGACUGGGCGUAACGCGCUCGUAGGCGGGAGGCCAAGCCACGGGUGAAAUCCCCGGGCUACACGUGGGAACUGCCUUUGAAACUGGGAAACUGGAGUGUGGGAGAGGAUAGUGGAAUUCUAGGUGUAGGAGUGAAAUCCGUAGAUAUCUGGAGGAACACCCGUGGCGAAGGCGACCUGCUGGAACGUAACUGACGCUGAGGCGCGAAAGCGUGGGGAGCAAACAGGAUUAGAUACCCGAGUAGUC
rnacentral:rRNA from 1 species